rnacentral:rRNA from 1 species
AGAGGGGGCAAGCGUUGUUCGGAAUUACUGGGCGUAAAGGGCGCGUAGGCGGCCUUCUAAGUCGAACGUGAAAUCCCCGGGCUCAACCCGGGAACUGCGUCCGAUACUGGAAGGCUUGAAUCCGGGAGAGGGAUGCGGAAUUCCAGGUGUAGCGGUGAGAUGCGUAGAUAUCUGGAGGAACACCGGUGGCGAAGGCGGCAUCCUGGACCGGUAUUGACGCUGAGGCGCGAAAGCCAGGGGAGCAAACGGGAUUAGAUACCCCGGUAGUCCUGGCCCUAAACGAUGAAUGCUUGGUGUGGCGGGUAUCGAUCCCUGCCGUGCCGAAGCUAACGCAUUAAGCAUUCCGCCUGGGGAGUACGGUCGCAUGGCUG